CCUACGGGAGGCAGCAGUGGGGAAUUUUGCGCAAUGGGCGAAAGCCUGACGCAGCAACGCCGCGUGUGUGAUGAAGGUCUUUGGAUCGUAAAGCACUUUCGACCGGGACGAAACCGCCUUGGCUAACAUCCAAGGUCUUGACGGUACCGGGAGAAGAAGCACCGGCUAACUCUGUGCCAGCAGCCGCGGUAAU
rnacentral:rRNA from 1 species